CCAGUUGAGAAUCCACCACAGGAUUUUGGUCAAGACCUGGUGAAUUACUGUUCAUAUCAAUGGAAGCAUGAUUAAGAGCUGAACCAGAGACAUCUACAUUUUUAUUAUUCUCUUUGGUAUUGUUCCCCUCAGAUGAAUUCACUGAAGGACUGGCUUCAACAACCUCAUCACGGACAUCAUUCAUAUCAAACUCUUUAAAAGGCAAAGCAUUAUCCGUCACUUGAGAAUCAAGCACAGGAUUUCGGUCAUGCCCUGGUGAAUUAUUAUUCAUAUCACUUUCAGUGUGAUCAAGAACUGAACCAGAGACAUCUACAUUUUCAUCAUUCUCUUUGGCAUUGUUCGCCUCGGACAAAUUCGCUAAAGGACCAGAUUCAAGAACCUCGACAUGGGUAUCAUUCAUAUCAAAUUCUUUACAAGACAAAGCAUUAUCCACCACUCGAGAAUCCGACACAGGAUUUUGGUCAAGUCCUGGGGAAUCACAAUUCAUAUCAGUGAUAUCUUGAUUAAGAGCUGAACCAGAGAC
rnacentral:lncRNA from 1 species